rnacentral:misc_RNA from 1 species
AACUUUCAGCAAUGGAUCACUUGGCUCUCGCAUCGAUGAAGAACGCAGCGAAAUGCGAUAAGUAAUGUGAAUUGCAGAAUUCAGUGAAUCAUCCAAUCUUUGAACGCACCUUGCGCUCCUUGGUAUUCCGAGGAGCAUGCCUGUUUGAGUGUCAUUAAUAUAUAUCAACCUCCUCUUUGUUGAGUGUGGUUUGGAUGUGGGGUGUUUGCUGGCCUUUUAAAGGGUCAGCUCCCCUGAAAUGCAUUAGCAGAACGACCUGUUCAUUGGUGUGAUAACUAUCUACGCUAUUGAGAAGGCAGUUCAGCUUCCUAACAGUCUUUGGACAAUUUCAUCAUUUAUUUGACCUCAAAUCAGGUAGGACUACCCGCUGAACUUAAGCAUAUCAAUAAGCGGAGGCU